rnacentral:rRNA from 1 species
UACGGAGGAUGCAAGCGUUAUCCGGAAUGAUUGGGCGUAAAGCGUCCGCAGGUGGCUGUGUAAGUCUGCUGUCAAAGAGCAAAGCUCAACUUUGUAAAGGCAGUGGAAACUACACGUCUAGAGUGCGUUCGGGGCAGAGGGAAUUCCUGGUGUAGCGGUGAAAUGCGCAGAUAUCAGGAGGAACACCAAUUGCGAAGGCAGCUCGCUGGGACGUAACUGACGCUGAGGCGCGAAAGCCAGGGGAGCAAACGGG